rnacentral:rRNA from 1 species
AUUGAACGCUGGCGGAAUGCUUUACACAUGCAAGUCGAGCGGCAGCGCGGGGCAACCUGGCGGCGAGCGGCGAACGGGUGAGUAAUACAUCGGAACGUGCCCAGACGUGGGGGAUAACUACUCGAAAGAGUAGCUAAUACCGCAUAUGAUCUAAGGAUGAAAGCGGGGGAUCGCAAGACCUCGCGCGUUUGGAGCGGCCGAUGGCAGAUUAGGUAGUUGGUGGGGUAAAGGCUUACCAAGCCUGCGAUCUGUAGCUGGUCUGAGAGGACGACCAGCCACACUGGGACUGAGACACGGCCCAGACUCCUACGGGAGGCAGCAGUGGGGAAUUUUGGACAAUGGGCGAAAGCCUGAUCCAGCCAUUCCGCGUGCAGGAUGAAGGCCCUCGGGUUGUAAACUGCUUUUGUACAGAACGAAAAAGCUCUGGUUAAUACCUGGAGUCCAUGACGGUACUGUAAGAAUAAGCACCGGCUAACUACGUGCCAGCAGCCGCAGUAA